GGCAACAGCUCAAAUUUGAAAUCUGGCCCCCUCGGGGCCCGAGUUGUAAUUUGGAGAGGAUGCUUUUGGCGAGGUGCCUUCCGAGUUCCCUGGAACGGGACGCCAUAGAGGGUGAGAGCCCCGUCUGGUUGGACACCGAGCCUCUGUAAAGCUCCUUCGAC
rnacentral:rRNA from 1 species